rnacentral:rRNA from 1 species
AACUUUCAACAAAGGAUCUCUUGGCUCUCGCCUCGAUGAAGAACGCAGCGAAGCGCGAAAUGUAGUGUGAAUCGCAGAACAUUGUGAAUCAUCGAAUCUUUGAACGCACAUUGCGCCUCUUUUAACAGAGAGGCAAGCCUGUCUGAGUCUCAUUU